AUUGAACGCUGGCGGCAUGCCUUACACAUGCAAGUCGAGCGCCCCGCAAGGGGAGCGGCAGACGGGUGAGUAACACGUGGGAAUCUACCCAUCCCUACGGAACAACUCCGGGAAACUGGAGCUAAUACCGUAUACGCCCUUCGGGGGAAAGAUUUAUCGGGGAGGGAUGAGCCCGCGUUGGAUUAGCUAGUUGGUGGGGUAAAGGCCUACCAAGGCGACGAUCCAUAGCUGGUCUGAGAGGAUGAUCAGCCACAUUGGGACUGAGACACGGCCCAAACGCCUACGGGAGGCAGCAGUGGGGAAUAGUGGACGAUGGGCGCAAGCCUGAUCCAGCCAUGCCGCGUGAAUGAUGAAGGCCUUAGGGUUGUAAAGUUCUUUCACCGAUGAAGAUAAUGACGGUAGUCGGAGAAGAAGCCCCGGCUAACUUCGUGCCAGCAGCCGCCGUAA
rnacentral:rRNA from 1 species